GGCCUAUAAAGGAGGUCAACUUAACAAAUUUCUACUCAAAAGCCACUUAAUAAAACAUAACUCAACCAACUGACCUGCCCAAAUGAGAAACAACCCCAUUGUAUACUCCAAAGGUGAAAACCACAGAGAUACCAGCUAACCAUAAUUCAAGAAGAACCCCAUUCCCCCCUGCAUGGUCACAAUAGAUGGAUCAGUCCAUUUUAUUGGCUUCUGCAUUUAAACCAGCUCCACCCUCAGCCUCCUCUUUCACCCAAACCAGGAAGGACUGGCGCGGCAGCCAGGUAAACUGUCUCCAUGGAGAUCACAGAAGGGCACACUGGCUGAAUAGCAAUCACCAAACCAUCGACUAUCCCCUCAUGAAGUUUCACUCUUCUCCACAGCUGGCUGACAGACCAACAACAGCACAAGUCAGAGAUGCCCACAGGCUGAUUGUACCACAUAUACAACCCGGUCUGACAACAGAUGCUCUCUUCAGUGAAGAAGACACCACAUACACUAUACUGCCAAAAGUUUAGUGUAGUGUGAAGGACUCUGUGCAGGCCAGUCAAGUUCAUCCACACCAAACUCACUCAUCCACAUCUUUACGGACCUUGCUUUGUGCACUGGCUGCUUAAAUCCUCAGUCAGAAGCCUCUGUGUUUGUCCACACUGUCAGCUAGACGGCCUGAUGAAAGGCAGUCACUCUGCGGCCGGUCCGUCUGUGCUUUCAGCCCGCAGGCUGUCGUGGAUGCCGCCUUCCCAGAAGGCCACUGGCUAGCAGCUCGUUAGUGUGUCAACUAACUGACCACCCACGACUCUGCCUGCAUGCCUUGGCCUGGCCCCAGAGGCUCAUGGGUAAUCUGUCAUCCAGUGUGUGUGCUGCAGCCUGCUGAUAGCAGACCUUCAGUCAGAGAGGAUGGAGCUGUGAUGUUUCUAUCAGCAGACAAGCAAAUGAACGAACUUCCAGCUGAGCCUCUGAAGCCACAUCAGCUGCCUCCCUCCUCUUCCUCCUCACCCCGUCCUCUGUCAGCCCUUUCUUUUGUCUCACUUUAUCCCCCCGUGCCACUCUGUGACUCUUUUCUUCUCUUUCGUAAACGGUUAAAGUCACUCCUAGAAUAUGUUAUGUUCCUUUAUCGUCCCCGUUGACGCUUUCAUCACAGCUGUGAAACAUUUUCUUGUGAAAACAGCAGAGUCCCAUUAAUCAUUUCAGUCGAUUGUCCAGUUCUGGUAUCAGUGUUGGAAUGUUUGAUGAGGUUUGGACUGCUGGAGGAAGUUCGGGUGGAGUCCAGUGGGAGUCGGUCCAGCUGCUGCUGCUGCUGUUCAACAGCCUGAAGCUGUUUACCUGAUCAUUAGUUCGCCUGAUGUUACUACUCAAACACACAGACCUUUUUUUUUUUUUUUUUUACACCUUAGUUUGGAAAGAUUAGAGCAUAUAAAUACAGAAUAUGUAUGAGAGACCCGAGGAGCAAUGAUUUCAAUGGAUGUAAGUCUUUAGAGUAGCUCUGUUAUUCUUACAUAUAUGCUUAUUUCCUUAAAAUCAUGUUAAUCUAAACAUGGACUCCAUCUGAAGUCCACUUGUUGUCAUAUUGAUAUGACUAAUCAGUUUUUGCUGGCUUCGGUUGCGGCACAUAAAAAGGAAACUGUGGAGAGCAAAAAAGGAAAAGUAUUUGCAGAAACGUGUCAUGCAUCACAGUCUAGGCUCAAAUUGUGUUCAAAUAAGGAACGUAAAACGGCAAAUACAUUAUUUUACCAAAGUACACAUUACAUGUACUUUAGUCAAAUCUUUCAGAGAUGUCUGCUGGCUACCAGAAACAUAUUUAAAAAUUCUAUAGGAUGCUCAAAGUGACAACAUAGAGGAAACUUAAUGUCUUGUUUUGACAAAUUGCAGUUAUAUAUUUCUCUUAAAAAAAAAAAAAUUAAAAGGUGAUAGUAGGGCUUACAUUUCUCUGGCACUGUGAUGAAAUCUGAUGACAGUUAUGUGUAUAGCAAAUAAUCUUGUUCAUUUUUUCUAACUGUCACAUAACUAGAAAAUGGCUGCACAUGCAUGUAUGAAGCCAGACCUCCCUCAUGUCUUAGUCUGAUAUAUUUUAGACUAACAUACAGUCAAAGUAUAUUUGAAAAAUUUUAUCUUUAAGAUGCUCUGA